rnacentral:lncRNA from 1 species
ACGGGUCUUUAUUUAUUGAGAAAGAAUUCACACAAGGUCACAUCAUACAGUCAAUCCAUUCCUGCGCUUCAUAAAAAUGAUUGUCACUCACUGUGCUUCACAAAAAUUUCUUUUAAUGAAUAAAUAAUUUGAUGAAAUCAAAAAUAUUUACAAUAUAAACAAAGGGAAAAGCUUUGGAUCCAUGAAUCUGAU